rnacentral:rRNA from 1 species
GACGAACGCUGGCGGCGUGCUUAACACAUGCCAGUCGAACGGAAAGGCCUCUUUCGGGGGGUACUCGAGUGGCGAACGGGUGUGUAACACGUGAGUAACCUGCCCUUGACUUUGGGAUAACUUCAGGAAACUGGGGCUAAUACCGGAUAGGAGCUCCUGCUGCAUGGAGGGGGUUGGGAAGUUUCGGCUGUUGGGGGUGGAUUUGCGGCUUAUCGGAUUGGUAGUGGGGUAGUGGCUUACCAAGGCUGUGCCGGGUAGCCGGCCUGAGAUGGUGACCGGCCCCACUGGGACUGGGAUGAGGCACAGACUCCUACGGGUGGCAGGAGUGGAGAAUGUUGCACAAGGGGUGGAAGGCUGAUGCAGCACCGCCGUGUGGGGGAUGACGGCCUUCGUGUUGUAAACCGCUUUCGCUGAUGACGAAGCUGUGUGUGACGUUAGUGGGUAAAGAAGCACCGGCUAACUACGUG